CCUACUUUAUUCAAAUAGAAAACGCGUGUGGUGGAGUGAGAGGGGAGAUACAGGCUCUGCCAUAAUUCCAGAUUUAAUUGGAAAUUUAGUAAAUCUGCUAAAAUAUUUAGUGGUUUCAAUUUUUUCCCUCUCUUCUGUAAGAAACAAAGGAUCCCGGUUUAUCGUGUGUCUUUCAACAACUUUAAUUUCAUUUGUAGAUUAAGGAUGGAAGUAGCAUUUCCACUCGAUUGCAUACUGGGCAUUAAGGAGACAAAAACGUUCAUUGUUUGCCCGAAGUCGGAGGGGUUUGUGCAGACAUUAAGCUGUAGGUGGCAUUCUUUAUACCUGACAUCAGAAGCUUUUGUCAGCCCUUCAGCUGACAGGAUUCUCUGCUGACCCCUCUGAGGUGUGUGAAGCAGUGAAAACAACCAAAGCAUUUCUGCCAGCAUCCAGUGUUAAUCCUGCAAUUGGAAACCACAGUGGAUAGAAGUACUGUGUAACUUGCUUCCAGAACAAAUAAGCAAGAUGACAACCUGUAGAUGUGAUCUCCCCUUACCACAAUUUUCAACAAUCUUUGCCCAAAUUCAAAUAAAUGCUGAUUGCAGUGAGUGUGAUCAAACUGACACAAAUACUGGAAUGGGUCUGAAAUUCUACCAAAAAGGCUCUUCAAGCAAGAAUGAAAUAAAACCAAUGGCUGGGAAGGAAUUUUGAUUCUUGAUCACCUUCUUAAUUUGAAGCUGUUCAUUUCUAGGGCAGUCCUGUUUUUCUCCUGGGUGAUUUGUCCCAAGGACACAGCCCUGAGGACCAGCUCCCUCCUGACGGGUACAAUCAUGGAAUCAUGGAAUACCCCAAACUGGAAAGGACCCACAAGGAUCAUCAAAGUCCAACUCCUGGCCCUGCACAGGACACCCCAACAAUCCCACCACAUGCCUGAGAGCCUUGUCUAGCAAGAGAGACAAAUUAUCCUUUGCUCUUAGCCAAAGGAGGGAUUGUUAUUCCAAAGUGAGGAAUGGGAUUGCUGGGUGGGAGAGACAUGGGCACACACAGCCUUGGUGAACAGUUUUGGACUUGCCUGGAAGUGCUGCGGGAAGGACAUUCAGUCCCUGCAGUGGGUUUACAAAGCUAUUUUUAACCAGUACCUCCAAUUCAACAAGAAAUGAAGAGGAAAAGAAGGAAGGAAGGAAAAAAAAAAGAAGAAACUCCAAUUCCUGCUGACCUGCACAGCUGGCUUAUUUGGGGCUUUGUAUCCAGUGGGGGGAAAAAAAAUGUGUGCCCCAAUUACCAGGCAAGCAACACAGAUCCAGACUGCUGGUGAAGCUCAUUUCUGAAACAUUUGCAAUGAGAGCAGAGAUCACCUGGCCCAGCUUAAGAGAGAUUCCCAAAAUUACCAGCCCUGCAUGCAGAGGAGAUAUUCUGCAAAGGGUGACAAUCUUCAAGGUUGCAUUGGGCUGGUGUAACUGUCCCAGCAUCUGGAGGCUUUGUGGACAUCUGUCCACCCCAAUUUAAUCUCUGUAGUGAAGGAUGUGAUGUCUCUCUGGCAUCACUCUGCUUUUGGGGAUAAAUCUUUGAAUGAGCUCCUUUGGGGCAAUGCCUCAGUUUAAGACUGGGGACAUCUGAUGGGAACAGAAGAGGGGACUGGUUUAAAUUCAGGCAGGAAUGAAGAGAAGAGCUGGGCACAGCCAGGAUGAUUUAUCCAGGAUGAUUUAUCCUGGCUUGAUGCGUGCUGAAGGCUGCUGGUUGUGCAGACACUGAUUGUGGCAGGGCUGAGGCUGCCGAGCUUUAAUGGACCGUGCUGCUGCAAAUACAGAGAGACGGGAACUGAUGGAGAAUAUAUUCAGGCUGGAUAUCAGAAGGGAGUUUGAGACUCUCAGACAACAGAGAUUUGGGAAUGGCCUUGGGGCAAAUGCUCCAGCUCAUUUGAAGCUGAGGCUCGUUCAGCCUGUGAAAUGGGAUUGUAUGACUUGGUUGCUGGGGAAUGUGACGGGAAGGACUUGGUGAUUAAAGGGGGCCCUUCUUGUCCUCAAAUGGGUUUUAGGAUGUUUUAGUUUCCUCUUUGGUGCUGGAGGUGCUUCCCAGAAAGUCCUGGAGCUGCUGUCAUGUUUUGAUGACCAUGGCAAUCAACGCUGCUUUUCAGGCUUUUGGCACAUUCUGACAGACAUGGAUGAAGUGAGUGUGCCCUGGCUAAAGAAAUACCUCCUUGUAAAGGUUGGCACACUCUGCUUGUGGAAUGAAGGGCUGUGGGUUCGGUACAAUCAAAUGUUCCAUCUUGACCUCUUGGUGGUCUGUGCUGCUUUCACAUCCUCAAAAGAUGUGAAACUGUCAAUAACUCCUUUGAGCCCUUCCCUUGAACUGGGGUCUCUAAUGUAUCAUCACAUACACUGCAAAAGACCAUUUUUAGCACUUUCAGCAUUUUAAAUGUUGCAUUUGAAGUAGCCAGUCCAGUGGCUGCCUGUUGUGCAUUCUGUAAUACAAACUGGCAUCUUGGCACUUGGUUGGAGAAAGGGAGCACAUGACACAAGUCUGGAUCAGGAGUCUGGAUUUGAUACCUCAAACUGCCCGGUGUUCAUUUUCUACUGCAGUCUUGUAGGAAGAUACUCAGAUCCUCAUUCCUUUUUCCUCUCAGCUGUUCCCCAGCCACUCACUUGAGGGAUCUUACAGAACCUUUGUUUCCUAAAGACUCUGGGUUUUCCCAGAGGCUUAUAUCCUACAGUCUAUUAUAUACAGACACACAGAUGCUCUAAAGCAGAAAUAUUUAUUCCUGGAUUGGUUUCUCUCUUCUUCAGACAUCUGUAAAAUCAGUGCCACCAGCAGAAUGAGUGCAUCAGUCAAUGCCAGGCAAACAGAUGAAGUGCACUGAAGACGAACAAAGUAGGACUGACCUGUGAAAUGGGGCUGCUGUCAGUGUGAAAUGAAAACUUGGGGUUGAACUCAUCCCUGAAAUGGUGAAACCCUCUCCAAGAAUCUGUACAAAGUUAUUUUUCUGGUGGAUAUUAACAAAUAAGGACAUUCUUGGAAACAAAAGUGAUGCUCUGCUGAGGGACACACUCUUGGCAGCCACUGCAGGGUCAGACAGGGUCAGAUCAUCUAUCCUCAGCUUUUCCCCAUGUCAGGGACCCCCUUGCACCCCAAAACUUUGAGUGUCCUUGGGACAGAUCUUCCACGCGUUACUGAUGGUAGAUGCAGCCAAACCUCACCAGAAACCAGCAGCACCAGCAGGUGAUUUGCUUCCCUGAGGGAGGACAGCAAAGUCAUUUCAUGGCAGGAGAUCCAUUUCACCGCCUCAUUUCCAGAAAAGGAAUUCUUUCCUUCACUCCAGCCUGCUGCUGGAACUCAUUCCCCAACCCAGCAGCUUUGUGGCAGGUACUGCCCUUCUCCUCCUCCCUGCUCUGCAGCCUGUACAGGGUGCUUUGCUGCACAGAAAGGACAUCACAAGCAUUCUUCAGGAAAUAAUUGAGGAUCUCCUGCCAGGGUUCUUCUUCCAAAGGAUGCUUCUGCCACUGCUCUGCUAAGGGAGGAUGUUGGAACCCUGGUUGCUGAGAAUUUCAGACUUUCUGUGCUGUCAGACACAGACCCCCAAGAGAACACUGCAUUGACCUGAGUCUGAGGAGAAGGCUUCCAAAAUUGAUUGAUAGAACUGGGAUUAUGGGUGUGGAGUUUGAAUAGAAGUGUAUGAUAUCACAUGGUGGAAAACUUAGAGUUUAAGGUUUUAGAAUAUAGUAAUAUAUAUAAAACAAGAUAGAAGAUUUAGGGUGGAGGCUGGUCCUUCUUCCUCUUCCAUCUUCUUCUUCAUGUUUUGGGUGGUUUUGUGUAAUUGGAUAAAAAAGUCCACAUUGUGGGGCACAGGUGGUUGGUUAUUGGGUUAAAAGUAAAAAUUAUUUAGGUGUCAUUUCUUAAUUGGACAGUUUAUCCUUAAAGGCCUUGUAGAGAGAGAGAGAGAGAGAGAGAGACAGAGAGAGAGACAGGCCUCCAUUUUUAGUUUGUUAAAGUGCUGUAGAAAUCAGAGUUUGUGAGACUGUAACAUAGAGAAGAACUAAUAAACAUCUAAUUCCAAACAAAAAAUACUGUCUUGUGCACUCAAUCCCAACCUUAGCUGAAAAGAAACAGAGAAUCCACAGGAGGAGUUUUGGAAGUCAGCCCAACCACCUUGUCAUUGCUGAUGAGUGUUGCGAAGCUGAAGUGAAGGAGACGUGCAAAGGAAGGGGAAAGAAAGGUGAAGGAUGGAGGGAAAUGGUGUCCAGGCUGCUCAACAGAAAGCUCAAUCCCAUCCAAGCAGGGCAGAGAGGAAAGGGAGGGCUUGGAAAGCCUUUCCCAGGAGGAAAACUGAUGCCUCCUUUGGACAACUUUCCUUCUUUCUUUCUGUGCUUAUCAUUUGUUCCGCCUAUUCACGGGAGGGACUCAAGCAAGACACGGGGCUUUGUGUUCCUGCCCCGUGCCCUAACGAGGGGGGAGUUUCAGGGCUGGCACUGGGGAGUGUGUGCUCACACACCAUGGAGAGGGGACUGCCCCACCAGGCCCAGCCUCCCACCAGAGUGGGGACAAGCAGAAAACUGGGGGAUUUAAAAAAAGGGGAAUUUUAUGGAAAAUCCGCACCUUCUAAAGUGGGAGUUUCUUAAAGAUGCUUUUGGGAAAUUCUUUCUGCUUGUGGACGUGUUGAUAACCUGAGCCAGAUCAAAGGCUCACAGGUUCCUCUUUCAUCAGAGGGCCUGUGCAGCAUCUCCCAGGGAUGCUCUGGACACA